CUUGACUUGGAAAUAUAAAAGAAGGAUAAAUAUGUUUCAAGGUAUAAUUUACAUUUUACUUAUGAUUCUGCUUUGAUUUUAAAAUAAAUUAGUGAUUAGAACUUCCCAUCCUCAUGCAGCUACAUAUUUAUUACAAAUUCCUUGAGUGACUUUCAGAUCAUGGGCUCCCAAGACUAAAGUCUUGAUGGUUUGAGAAUUUUAUGUGGAGAAGAAUGCUACAAGAAUGUAUAUGGUAAAGGCAAACCACUUAAAUAUGUCCUGGGUUGUGCAAUGGAAUUCAGCAUCACUGUGAGUAAAUACUACAUUUUGUGCUUUUACUCAGGACUACACUCCCUGCUGCCUCCUGCAAUCACCAGUAUACAGAGUGGAAGAUCUCUUUAUUACUGCAGGCUCAGCAGCAUGGUCCUCCAACUUCAUGUGGUGGUGUCUGCUUGGGCUGGUGACGUCUAAGAUGGCUUCUUACCUACUAGAAGCUUCUACGUGGAGGGUGGAAUAUAAUACAGUAUUUUUAGAGUGACUGGACAUCUUCUGUGGUAGGUUGGCCUCUCAUAGGGAAUAAGCAGAAACUGCUAGUUCUCCUAAAGGCUAAGGGUGGACCUACCAGAAGCACACAUCCACCAAGGCAUUUCCCAAGGCCAGCCCAGAUUCAAAGGGAAAU
rnacentral:lncRNA from 1 species